CGUUCAACAUGGGGUCGAGAAGUAAAAGAAUGUUAGAAUUAGUAAAAAACAAGAAAAUAUGUGUUUUAAAUAAAGGUAAGUCCGAAUAGAGAAUUUUUUUGUAGAUAGAAACUGUAUUUUGUACUUCCUUAGAGGUCAAUACCAAUGCGGUGAUUUUGGAGCAGCCAAGCACUAGUGGGCUUCAAAAGAAGGUUAACUCUAAAGCAGACUAUAUGGAUAAUUGUACUGAUGAAAGUGUUAUAUCAGGCAGCGAAUAUUCCCCUUCCAGUGAAGAAGAUUCAGAAGAGGAUUCUGAUAACUCAAAUAUUUCUUAUUCGACGAGUCUCAUAAACAAAUAUCCGGAUGUUGAUAGAGUCAAACGUAAAAUGUUUCCGGAUAACCAAAAAAUUAAAAAGGUUCCGACAAGCAGCAGGGAAACCCCGGAUAGGAUUGACGUCAUUGACGAAGUGCAGAAGGAAAUACCUCGGGAAAUACGUAUAGAAGACUAUAACCAGCAAUUCCAUGUUACUGCCGAUGGAAUAAGUAAAAGAGAAAUUGUUAAACCAGUUUUAAAAAUAACUA